CCUACGGGAGGCAGCAGUGGGGAAUAUUGGGCAAUGGGCGCAAGCCUGACCCAGCACCGCCGCGUGACGGAAGAAGGCCCUCGGGUUGUAAACUUCUUUUAUCAAGGACGAAACAAAUGACGUUACUUGAUGAAUAAGCACGGGCUAACUACGUGCCAGCAGCCGCGUGAAUACGUUGGUGGCAAGCGUUAUCCGGAUUUACUGGGUGUAAAGGGCGUGUAGCCGGGACUGCAAGUCAGAUGUGAAACCCAUGGGCUCAACCCAUGGCCUGCAUUUGAAACUGUAGUUCUUGAGGGUUGGAGAGGCAGGCGGAAUUCCGUGUGUAGCGGUGAAAUGCGUAGAUAUACGGAGGAACACCAGUGGCGAAGGCGGCCUGCUGGACAAUAACUGACGCUGAGGCGCGAAAGCGUGGGGAGCAAACAGGAUUAGAUACCCGGGUAGUC
rnacentral:rRNA from 1 species